rnacentral:rRNA from 1 species
AGAGUUUGAUCAUGGCUCAGGAUGAACGCUUGCGGUCGGCUUAACACAUGCAAGUCGAGCGGCAGCAGCACUUUUCGCAAGAAAAGUGGCUGGCGAGCGGCGGACGGGUGAGUAACGCGUAGGUUACCUACCCUUAGGUGGGGGAUAGCUCCGGGAAACUGGUGGUAAUACCCCAUAGUAUCUCUAUGAGAUUAAAGGAUUUUUCCGCCUAAGGAUGGGCCUGCGUCCCAUCAGGUAGUUGGUAGGGUAAUGGCCUACCAAGCCAACGACGGGUAGCCGGUCUGAGAGGACGAUCGGCCACACGGGGACUGAGACACGGCCCCGACUCCUACGGGAGGCAGCAGUGAGGAAUAUUGCGCAAUGGGCGAAAGCCUGACGCAGCCAGACCGCGUGAGGGAUGAAGGCCUUUGGGUCGUAAACCUCUUUUGUCAGGAAAGAAACCUUUAGACGUGUCUAAAGCUGACGGUACCUGACGAAUAAGCCCCGGCUAACUACGUGCCAGCAGCCGCGGUAAUACGUAGGGGGCAAGCGUUAUCCGGAUUUACUGGGCUUAAAGGGUCCGUAGGCGGUGUGGUAAGUCAGAGGUGAAAUCCUACGGCUUAACCGUAGAACUGCCUUUGAUACUGCUACACUUGGAUACAGUCGGAGUG